rnacentral:rRNA from 1 species
ACGCUGGCGGCGUGCCUAAUACAUGCAAGUCGAGCGAAGUUUUUCUGGUGCUUGCAUCUGAAAAACUUAGCGGCGAACGGGUGAGUAACACGUAGGGAACCUGCCUCAUAGACUGGGACAACUAUUGGAAACGAUAGCUAAUACCGGAUAACAGCAUUAACUGCAUGGUUGAUGUUUAAAAGUUGGUUUUGCUAACACUAUGAGAUGGCUUUGCGGUGCAUUAGCUAGUUGGUGGGGUAAAGGCCUACCAAGGCGACGAUGCAUAGCCGACCUGAGAGGGUGAUCGGCCACACUGGGACUGAGACACGGCCCAGACUCCUACGGGAGGCAGCAGUAGGGAAUCUUCCGCAAUGGGCGAAAGCCUGACGGAGCAACGCCGCGUGAGUGAAGAAGGAUUUCGGUUCGUAAAGCUCUGUUGUUAGGGAAGAAUGAUUGUGUAGUAACUAUACACAGUAGAGACGGUACCUAACCAGAAAGCCACGGCUAACUACGUGCCAGCAGCCGCGGUAAUACGUAGGUGGCAAGCGUUGUCCGGAAUUAUUGGGCGUAAAGCGCGCGCAGGUGGUUUAAUAAGUCUGAUGUGAAAGCCCACGGCUCAACCGUAGAGGGUCAUUGGAAACUGUUAAACUUGAGUGCAGGAGAGAAAAGUGGAAUUCCUAGUGUAGCGGUGAAAUGCGUAGAGAUUAGGAGGAACACCAGUGGCGAAGGCGGCUUUUUGGCCUGUAACUGACACUGAGGCGCGAAAGCGUGGGGAGCAAACAGGAUUAGAUACCCUGGUAGUCCACGCCGUAAACGAUGAGUGCUAAGUGUUGGUCUCAUAAGAGAUCAGUGCUGCAGCUAACGCAUUAAGCACUCCGCCUGGGGAGUACGACCGCAAGGUUGAAACUCAAAGGAAUUGACGGGGACCCGC